AUUGAACGCUGGCGGCAGGCCUAACACAUGCAAGUCGAGCGGCGCGGCGGCCGGGUGAGUAAUGCUUAGGAAUCUGCCUGGGCCUGGGGGAUAACGUCCGCAAACGGGCGCUAAUACCGCAUACUAUCCGCUUCGCCUGGGUCGGAUUAGCUAGUUGGUGGGGUAAAGGCCUACCAGGGCGACGAUCCGUAACUGGUCUGAGAGGAUGAUCAGUCACACUGGAACUUAGACACGGUCCAGACUCCUACGGGAGGCAGCAGUGGGGAAGAUUGGACAAUGGGCGAAAGCCUGAUUCAGCCAUGCCGCGUGUGUGAAGAAGGUCUUCGGAUUGUAAAGCACUUUAAGUUGGGAGGCGUUACCCGCAGAAGAAGCACCGGCUAACUCCGUGCCAGCAGCCGCGGUAAUUC
rnacentral:rRNA from 1 species